AUAGAAGGAGGGUGUACCCUGCUAUUGGGCUGCGAUGCUGCUUUGGGAAGAAGAACGGCCUAGACGAAUCAGAAGGUCAUGGAUUCUUAUCCCGGCUCCGCCACUUGUCUGCGGUGUGACCUUGGGCAGGUCACCUGACCUCUGUGUGCCUCAGUUUCCUCAACUGCAAAAUGGGGAUUCAUAGAGCCCAAUUAUCCGAAGGCCAUGCUGCUCCCUGGAGUUUCCAGUCUCAUGGAGAGGGAUGCAAAGUGUAAACCUGCCACAGGAACAAGUACAAGAGCAGCGAUUCAACUGAGAAAACCAAAACUGUGCUGGCAGGACCGCCCUUCAUUUUUUCAGACGUUAAGACCUGCCUCAGCUAUUUCUUCGGGACAGCAUCCAAAUUGGAAGUACUGCUCUUAUCUAGAGCACAGGAAAGUUGUUAUGAGGAACCCCAUGUUCAAACCCCUGCGUGAUUUUGAGGUCGUACGGAUCCGACGGUGGCUAUCUAAAGUCGCCCUUUCGAGCAACAACAGAACAUUUGGAAAGGUGUCGCCAUCCGUUGUGAGAAUGCAGGCGAGUUCUCUUUCUCUGCGAGGGAGUGUCGCCGGCCAUUUCCAUAAUUGGUUUCUCUGUUUACCAGUUUGGGAAGCUAAGGACAUUGAUGGCAUCGUAUUGAUCCUCUUUCUCAGUUCAGCUUGACUGUUUAAUUAGAACAGCAGCUCCGAGUACACCAGGACUGGGAAAUCUGAAUGGUCACAAAACUACAUUUGGCUCGAUUAAAAGCAAAAACUCAACUGGUUCUUACCACGUGAACACGUACGAGAUACGGUUUUUUUUUUUUUCUUUUUGGUGCCACUCUACUUUUUCUUUCUUCACUCUGGCUUGUGGCUACCAAAGUAUCUUGGGAGGGAAAUACUGUGCUCUCGAGUAAGGAUUUUCUCUAGUCAAACCGUCUUAUAUAUACUUGAUUAAUUAUCAAGACCCUCCCGGAAAAUUGAGCAAAUCCUGUUUAGCCGCUUAGAGGUGGAGAGCACGUGUGUGUAUAUGGAUAGAUUUGAGCGUGUGGAGCACGAAUCAGUUUUUGCCCGGUUUAUGCAUGUGGAUAUAAUAAUGUUGGUAUUUGUUAAGCGCUUACUAUGUGCCGAGCACUGUUCUAAGCGCUGGGGUAGACACAGGGCAAUCGGGUCGUCCCACCUCCUUGAAGCUCCGUGGACAUUUCCAAUCCCCCGUGAAUCUACCGGACUGUCUUUCGAUCUAUCUUCUGAGCUCACCCGAACUCCCAUCUCCUCUAGGGAGCAUUCUCUAAUCUUUACUGUCUCAGGCGUGUCAGCCCCCAGACCACCCCUGGCAAUCCGUCAAUCAAUUAAUGAUAUUUAUUGAGCACUUGCUGCGGGCAGAGCACUGGACUAAUCUUGGGAGAGUACGAGAUAACAGCGUCCGCAGACACUGCCCUGCCCGCAGAUCACAGUCUAGUACUUAGGAAGGUAGAGCGGCACGGCUCAGUGGUUAGAGCGCGGGCCUUCGGCUCAGAAAGACCUGGGUUUUAAUCCCGGCUCUGCCACUUUUCUAGCGCGUGACCUUGGGCGAGCCACUUAACUUCCCCGGGACUCGGUUCAUCUCAUCCGUAAAACGCGGAGCGAUUGCGAGCCCCAAAGCGGGACACGGACUGUGUCCAAACUAAUUAGUUUGUGUCUAUCACGGCACUGAGUACAGUGCCUCGCACAGAGCGGGCACUUAGAAACCAUUAAAAAAAGCAGAUCUGAAAAUAGUUCAGCGGUGCUUCGUCUAUAGUAUGUGGCUUAUAGUCUGUCGUUCCGAAAGGACCCCUUUCAAGAUGGCAGCUGGAGGGUUUCCAGUACUCUCCCAGUCUCGGCUGCGAGGGGCAGCGUGGCCCAGUGGAAAGAGCACGGACUUGGGAGUCAGAGGUCACGGG
rnacentral:lncRNA from 1 species